GCCUGGGCGGCUCAGUCUGUUAAGCGUCCGACUUUGGCUCAGGUCAUGAUCUCACGGUCUGUGGGUUCGAGCCCCAUCUCGGGCU
rfam:Felis catus isolate Cinnamon breed Abyssinian chromosome C1, whole genome shotgun sequence.